CAAAAUACAGUUUCCUCUUGAAGCUCCUGCAUGUCCAACAUCUUGAAGAUGAGGAGUCUUUAAAAGACCAUUUGCUCCAUCUUCUGCAUUCAGGCUGAAUUGUUUAAAAGCAUUUCAGAAAGAUGAGAAUCUACCCUACUUAAAAAAAAAAAUUCCACGGAAGGAAUAUCAGAGAACCAAAAGUAAUAUUAUCGAAGUUAAAUUCCUCAAGUUUCAACUAAAACUGGGCUCUUCUUGUUGUUUGUUUAGAGGAGAUGAAAAGUAGCUCUUCACUGUGUGAAAGCCAUUCCUACACUUGAAAGACAUUGUUAUGUGGCUCUUUCUGCUAAAAAUAAUCUCAUUUCCUUAGAAGAUUUUCUAAGUUUUAUUUCCCAGUUUUGACCCUGUGAAGGUUAAUGAGAGAAUCUGAUACUGAGGGGGAGAGCACAUGAAACCUGCCAGGACUUUACUUAUUUAAAACAUUUUUACAAUUAUUAUUUCCUGUUCAUUCUGGAGAAUCUACAGAGCUCUUCACUGGGGAGAUGGCAGAGAGCUGAAGAGCUGACAGGAUAGGAAAGAGCCAGUGAAAUAUUUGAAUUUACCUGUCUGUGUAGCACAAGGACCAGUGACAUGUUGUAAACUAAUGACAGGAAGAGUAGCACAAAAGCAACUUUGAUUGAAUUGGGCCUCCUGGUGGCGCCAGUCUGAAGUGCCUCAGAACAUGGCAUCAUGGGAGACUCCUCUGGUGCCGGUUCUCCUAGUCCAGUCACUGGCUGUGAGGUUUCAACAUGGCUGCUCCUGUUUUCCUCCCAGCCCUGCUACCAAAUGACUGUCCUGCAGGACAAUUCCUGGGAGUGGUUGGGAUCAACUCCUCAUGGAACAAUUGCCGCCACGUCAUAGGUGUAGGUUUGCAAGGGUGGUGUUCCAGAGCUGUUGAUUCCCUCCUUUGCAGUCUAUCUUUGAUCCACAUCAGUUGCACUAGGUAGAUGGUACUGUCUGGAUUCAGCUUCUUUCUCCUACAUGUGAAUAACCGUGUUCAAGGUAAUACCAUGUGUUAAUUUGGCCAUUUUUAAAACUAGUUAAAACAGUAAAGUUAUUUGUCUAAAUAACAUAUAGUCAUAGCAAAUUUAAAAACUUAAUACCUAACUAUGGUAAAAUGUAAUUUUCGCUAACCCUGAACUCACUUCAGUUUCUGCUUAGGCUAAUCCUGACUCUAAGAAAAUAUUUUAAAAACAUUCAUUCAACAAAUAUGCUUUGAGGCAUCCUUUGGUAUCAAGCACUGUGCUAGGCACUGAGUCUGCAAUAAUGAAUAAGACAAAGUUGAUCUUUGUCCACAGAGAGAUGAUAGUCUGCAGGAUGCAGUGUUCUAAUGGAUUGAAAACCUCUUCUGGAAUUGCAGUUCUUUCAGGAUAUAUGUGACUUCCAGACUUCUUUGUACCGCAGCAUCACAUGCAGGAGAUGCUCCAAGUUCGGGAGGCAAGAACAAUGGAGGAGGAGUGAUGUCUAGAAGCAGCAGUGGCAGCAUGAAGACUGUCCAUCCACCUGCCUUCGUGGUAUGUGGGAAUCAAGUGAAUGAGCAACCUCCAGUGAGAGCCCUUCAAGAAAGGAUGCUGCAUCAUCCAUCAUGCCACUCAUGAAUAUUGGCUUCCAGUGACUCCCUCCAAUGUUGCUGCUGUAUUUCAUUGACGAUGACCACAAAUGCAAGUCUUUUCUAGAAUAUGGAGGAAAAUGUGAACAAUAAUUUGUUUCCUGGUUAUGCUGAACUUACCAUUUGGAAUUUUAUAAUGAAUGUAGAACAAUACAUCUUCCAACUUUGUCUUCUCUUGAAUUCUUUAUGCGGUAAUCACUGCAUUCCUAGAAAGUGAUUAUUUUAAUGUUAACCGCACCCUGCCUUCCAUUCACUGCCAGCAGCAGAGAGGACUGUAGGAGAAAUGAGAAGAGUGGCCUCAUUGGCAGAAGAAAUGUCUGUUUCUCAUCAGGCAUGAUGACUUAAGCUGACCUGGGAAAGCAUGAUGUCUUCACAUCAAUGGAGGUGGAAGAGGAUGUCAAUUGGGGCCACCCAGAGGAAGGGAUGCCUGCUGCCACCCUGGGUUGCCCUUGGUGCUAAAGAUCAGAGGCAGCACCAUAAAACAAAACCAAGCAAGAGCUGACCUGUGGGCCCCACACAUACAGCUCAAACCAAGGGUCAAUGGUUUUACCUUUGGCAGCCCAGGACCCUGAACCUAUCCUGUGUUUUAUGUUUGAGAGUCACAGCCCACUCUCACAUGAUUCUGUGAAAGAAAUAUGACACCAGGCAAAAGGAGAAAUCCACUUGCCACGAUGCCUUCCUGGAACAAGAGUCAGCCAAGUACCUCAAGACAACCCUGUGGCCUGGGUCCCAGAACUCCUCGGAGCUUCUUGGAAAACUCAUGUGCUGGGUAGAUGGUAGGAGAGCACCAGGAAGGGGCUGAAGGGAGACUGGGGCCCACGUGGGUCCCAGACCAGGUUAGGGCACCCCACCAGGAGGGCUCUGCUGGCCCUGGCUGGUCCCAGGCACCAGAGGAGGCUUAAGAAAUUUCAAAGAAGAUGCUUCUGGAGACUAGAUCCCAUACAGAAUCAGAUCUGAGCUUGGUUCACCCUACUCUGC
rnacentral:lncRNA from 1 species